UAUGGACUUGAUGCUUUAAAUAUUCCUGGGGCUAUAGCUUUAACUUUAUUUGUCCAGCAAUCUUUUGGAUCCUUCCUCAAUUAAUUGAAGUCAAUAUUCUAGCAAAGUUUCAUUCACCUUUUUGCUUUAUAAUAAUUUACCAGUGAAAAGGAAAUUGCAGGUAUUUGCUAUUAUUUUAGUUCUGCAUUUUUAUGAGGAUUUGUUUUCAUGAUUUCCUUUUUUUGCCUUGGGGGAGCAAGCUGAAUUGAGUGUUGACAGUAAAGAGUUCUGAAUGUUUUAAGUCUUGUUAAUGAUAAAUUGAGUGUACAAUAUAUACUGGCUAUAAGAUAAUGAUAAGUAUGAAAUGUACAAGCUAAGGACUGGUACAAGAGAUGGAUAAAGAUCAAUAUGAAAUUGGUUAACAGAUUGGGAUAAACAUUCUCUCUCUAUUUCGCCCCUGCAAUUUGAGUGUUGAACUGGUCGAAUUGUUAAUCUUGCCUGAAUAUCAGCAUGUCUGGAGCUCGGUAAAGCUUUUUGAGGAUAUCUGCAAGUUGGUCACGGGAUGAAACAAAUUUAACUUGAAGCUCUUUCUUAGUGACUUUAUCCCGAACAAAGUGGAACUCCACUUCUACAUUUUUCGUUCUGGCAUGGAAGAUUGGGUUUGCAGAUAGAUAGGUAGCACCAAUAUUGUUACACCACAGCACAGGAGUAGAUAUAAAAGGCAUGGCAAUUUCUCGAAGAAGAGAUUCUAACCAAUUUAAUUCAGUUGUAGCAGCCCCAAUUGCCUUGUAUUCAGCUUCCAUGGAGGAUUUAGCCACAGUUCUUUGAUUUUUGGAGUUCCAUGAAAUAUGGUUUUGGAGCCAAGGAAGAUGGAAUGCCCAGAUGUAGAUUUACGGUCAGUACUGUCACUUGCCCAAUAUGCAUCUCUAUAAGUGAUUUAACUUAUGGACAUGAUUCGGCUUUUCUGGAUCCUGGAAUCCGGGUGGUGGUUCCAUAAAAACAUUGUCUUCUAAGUCACCAUGAAGAAAAGCGUUCGAGACAUCUAAUUGACAAAUGUCCCAAUCUUUGGAGAUUGCAAUUGAAAAAAUGAGCCUAAUUGUUGCUGGUUUAACAACAGGGGAAAAGGUUUCUGUGAAAUCCAGCCCUGGCCGCUCUUGAUAACCCUUUGCCAUAAGAUGUGCUUUAUAGCGCUCAACUAACCCAUUGGAUCGCUGUUUAAUUCAAAAAACUCACUUACAUCCAACCACAUUCUAAGCAGUAGAACGAGGUACUAAUGUCCACAUCCCUAUCUGAAUCAAAGCAUUGACUUCGUCCAUCAUGGCCGCACGCCAUGUCGAAUCUCAUACUGCUUGUGAAUGGCAAGUAGGAACACUGAGUUGAUAUGAUGAAAUGGUUGCCAAAAAUUUCUUGGGCUUUAAGUUGCCCGUCUGAGAUUUGGUCACCAUUUUGUGAAGGCAUUCAGGUUGAGGUUCGAUGCAGGUGUAGGUGGUUCAUGCGAAGUAGGGAAAUUUGGGUCUAAGUCUGUGGAGUUGGUGACUACUAGAUGAAUACCUUUAUUGGUUGGUGGAAUUGAUUUUGCAAUGGGAGAUCUGGUGAGAGCAAGCAUUAUUGAGUGUGUUUGGUGUGAUUGGUAGUAGGGCAAUAUGGUGAGGAAAAAGAGACGUGGUUAGAAUUGAAGCAUGUGAGUGGAAUACUUCGUGGGCUUGGAGUGGAUGAUGGAUGUGGGCCUAACAAACCUUGCCAUGUGUGAUUUGGAGCAUUAUUGGGACAAUGGUCUAGUAUCAAUGGGUGUGUGGGUGAAGUAGUGACAGGACCUUGCAAAAUCAAACUUGGAUUCCGUAGUGCCAAAUUAUCAUUCUGGAGAAGUGGAAAAUCCUGUUCAAAGAAAAGAACAUGACGUGAAAUGUAAAUUUUGCCAGUUAAAAAUUCCAAGCAUUGAUAACCUUUAUUAGAUUUGUUGUAACCCAAAAAUACACAUUUACUAGAGUGUGGGAAUAGUUUAUGUUUGGAGUAUGGUUUUAACCAAGGAUAGUAAAGGGAUUCAAAAAACAUAAAGUUCAGUGUAAUCAGGCGGUGUUUUGAAAAGAAUUUUAUAUGUGUUUUAGGACUAAUUUUGAUUGAAGGGAUUCUAUUGAUUGUGUUAAACACUUGUUUGAAAUGCAUAAGUCUAAUAUUGUAGUGGAACAUUUGCAUGGUGUAACAUGGUCCUACCUGUCUCAAAGAUAUGACUGUGUUUGCAUUUUGCACAACUAUUUUGUUUAGGUGUGUGCGGACAUGAGAUUCUUUGAGUGAUGCCAUUAUCUCGUAAAUAAUUGGUUAAGGCUUGAAAUUGCCCAUCACGAUCUGCUUGGAAUUGUUUAAUUGGCAAACCAAAAUGUUUUUUGACAAGAGUGUAGAAUUGGAUAAAAACAGUGAGUACAUCAGAUUUAUGUUUCAAAAAAUAAGUCUAAUUAUACUUACUGUAGUGAUAAAAAAAAAAAAGGCACAUAAUAUUGAAAACCAUUAACAGAUUCGACAGGAGCAGGGCCCCAAACGUUAGAACAAAUUAACUCAAAAGGUUGAUUAACACUGGAAUAAGAAACAGAAAAUUUAUGCAUCUUGCUGAUAUUGCAUGCAUGACACGGACUGGAAGACUUGAAUUUAUUACAAGAAAGUUUAUUAUGACUAACUAAACAAGAAUUAGCAUGGCCCAGAUGGGCAUGCAAUGUGGCCAAAGGUGCAACAAGAGCUUCUAGACGAAGAGAAGUAGAAAUCUGAAGAGGUAUCCUUCACAAGAAAACAAUCAGGGUAAAACUCAACAGAUGCAUUAUUAUUUGUAGUAAACGAAUGAAUAGAAAGAAGAUUUUGAUGGAAAGAAAGAGAGCAAAGAAUAUUGUUCAAUUGAAAUGUCAAAUUGUGAGCAUGAGUAGUAGAUGAACCAACAUGAGAAAUAGGAAGUGUUUUACCAUUGCCUAUCACAAUUUCAUUAGUUCCAUGAUAAGGAGCAAAGGAUGUAAGAUUUCUAUUGUCAGCCGUCAUUUGGAAAUUAGUGUUGGAAUCCAAAUUCCAAUUCUGGGCAGGUGUAGUAUUGGUGGAAGCAAAGCUGAAAACUGGCCUUGUAGAGUUAGACCGGCGUGGUGUUGGGCAUUGCUUGGCAAGAUAGCCAUUGCCAUUGCAGUUGUGGCAAAUGAUAUGACUGGGAACACGGGCGUUGAUAGAAGUGUAGGACUGAUUGUGGCAACCUCAACCUCUGUUGGAAUGUCCUCCUUUAGUUGACUAAUUGGAGGGACGUGCGGCAUAAUGUGCAGUUGGAGUAACAGAUGAUUCCAUAGAUAAAUUUUUCAUUUUUAGUUGGGCUUCCCCACUCAAGAGCAAAGCAUAAAGGUCAUUAUAAGAGAUGGGCAUAUGUUAAAGAUUAGAUCUGAAUUAAUCUCUGAAAUAGAGAUUAAAGCAGAAUUUUAGAAGAUUGGGUGAGAAGAGAAUAGAGAUUGGAUGAGAAUAGAGUAGAAAAAUAUUGAAGAAGAGAGAAAAUAUUUCUGUUAUUGAUUCUUGAAUGCAUGAAUACAGGAAAAGACUUCCCUUUUAUACAAGAGAAGUGUAACUGCUUGUAUCUGCAAAACUUUUUUUGGAGUCACUAUCACUGUAUCAUCCUGGAAAAGAGGUAGAUCUUGAACAAUCAUAGUAUUGUCGCCAACCUUUUUCUUUGAUAACGAAACAUGGAACACAGGAUGUACAGUGGAAUUAGGGAGUAGUUUCAGUUUGUAAGCCACAAUACCAACUUUAGCUUCCACCUGAAAAGGCCCAUAAUACCUUGCUGCCAGCUUGAAGUUUUUCCUUAAGGCUAUAGAACUCUGCUUGUAGGGUUGUAAUUUAAGAUACACCCAAUCCCCCACUUCAAAAAUUCUUUCAGACCUCUUUUUAUUAGCAUAUUGCUUCAUUCUAUUCUGCGCUGCUAGCAAGUUAUCUCUAAUAAGCUGAGACAUAUGCUGUCUAUCUUGCACAAAAUCAGUCACUGCACCUACUGAAGCAUUCUCAAGAGGCAGAAAAGUCAAUGGAGCUGGCUUGUAACCAUAUAAAGCUUCAAAUGGAGACAGUUUCAAGGCACUAUGAUAGCUAGUGUUAUACCACCAUUCAGCUAAAGGAAGCCAUUUAACCCAUGAAUGAGGUGCUUGAUAACAAAGACACCUCAAAUACCCUUCCAUACUCUGAUUUAAUCUCUCAGAUUGGCCAUCUGACUGAGGGUGAUAGGCUGUACUAUAAGCAAGCUUAGUCCCCAUCAUUUUAAACAAAUCUUUCCAGAAUAAACUUGUAAAAAUCUUGUCUCUAUCAGUGAUAAUAGAAACAGGAAGGCCAUGGAGCUUAAAAAUAGUAUCUAAAAACAAUUUAGCAACAGUUGAAGCUGUGAAAGGAUGUUGUAAUGGAAUGAAGUGCCCAUACUUUGUAAAUCUACAAAUCAUCACCAGAAUAGUAUCCUUGCCUUGAGAUUUUGGUAGUUGCUCCACAAAAUCCAUUGUAACAUGCUGCCAUGCCUGAGUUGGAAUAGGUAAAGGUUGUAAAGGCCCUGGAGAGGCACAUGUUUCUGUUUUACACUGAGCACAAGUAUCACAGCUUUUAAUCCAGUCCACCAUUGAUUUCAACAUACCAGGCCAGUAAAAAUGUCUGCUCAACCUCACAAAAGUAGCAUUAAUUCCAGAAUGACCACCUAGGUGAGAAUUAUGGUAAAUAACUAACAAAUGCUCUCUCAAAUUACCAUUGCUGCCCACAUACAACCUAUCCUUAUGGAAUAACAAUCCAUUUUUAUAGGAAUAACCAGAGUGGCCUUGCUCAUCUAUUGACAAAUGAGAGAUGAAUUCAGCAGCUUUGACAUCCCCUUCAUAGCUAUGAAUCAAUUGUGCCAUCCAAGUAGGCUGCAAUGAAGAGUGUAAAGCAUAAAGUUGACCAUCCACAGUAGGUUUCCUUGAUAAGGCAUCAGCAGCUUUGUUUUCAACCCCCUUUCUAUAUGUAAUUUUAUAUUGCAGCCCCAAUAAUUUUAAAACACCCUUCAAUUGCAAAUUAGUGUGCAACCUUUGCUCCAAUAAAUGUUUGAUACUCUCAUGGUCAGUCUUAAUAAAGAAUGGCCCUUGCUCUAGGUAAUGUCUCCAUUUAGAGACAGCAAAGGUAAUGGCUAGCAACUCUCUCUCAUAGACUGACAGUGAUUUAGUUCUUGGGCCAAAAGCCUUAGAGAUAAAGGCUAUAGGAUGUCCAUUCUGCUGUAAAACUGCCCCCAUACCUGUCCCACUAGCAUCAGUUUCAACAAUGAAAGGUUUAUUGAAAUCUGGAAGUGCUAGAACUGGAGCUUGAGACAUGGCUAUUCUGAGAUGAUCAAAUGCUCUUUGAGCUGUCUCACCCCACUGAAAAGCAUCUUUCUUAAGGAUGUCAGUGAGUGGUUUACUAAUAAUACCAUAGUGUUGAACAAAUUUUCUGUAAUACCCAGUUAAUCCCAAAAAACUCCUCAACUCUUUGAUUGAAGUUGGUAUUGGCCAAGACAAAACAGCUUUAAUCUUGGUAGGGUCUGUUGCUACCCCUUCCCCUGAUAUAAUAUGGCCUAAAUAAUCAAUUUCAGCCUUGCCAAAUGAACAUUUACUUAGUUUUGCAAACAAUUGUUGCUGUUGCAAAACUUGAAAGACUAAUUUCAAAUGGUGUAAAUGUUGUUCCCAAGAUGAGCUAUAGAUCAAAAUAUCAUAAAAAAACACUAAUAUAAACUUCCUCAAAUAAGGCUGGAAGAUGUGGUUCAUGAGUGCUUGAAAUGUUGCAGGGGCAUUUGUUAGCCCAAAGGGCAUGACAGUAAAUUCAUAAUGCCCAUGAUGUGUUCUAAAAGCUAUUUUGUGAAUAUCAGAAGGAGUCAUCCUAAUCUGAUGGUAUCCAGCUUUUAAAUCAAUCUUAGAAAAAAUUGAAGCACCAUGAAGCUCAUCUAGAAGAUCAUCUAUAAUAGGAAUUGGGAACUUGUCUUUAAUAGUAAGAUCAUUCAACUUCCUGUAGUCAAUGCAAAAUCUCCAAGAGCCAUCUCUCUUCUUGACAAGUAGUACUGGAGAAGAAUAUGGACUGGUGUUAGGUUGAAUGACCUCAUUUUGUAACAUUUCAUCCACAAGUUUCUCUAUUUCUGUCUUCUGAAAAUGUGGGUACCCAUAAGGCGUGAUAUUGACAGGUAAUGCUGAAGGUACCAAGGGAAUUGAAUGGUUGUGACUUCUGAAAGGUGGCAGGCCUUUUGGAUCCUCAAAAAUCGCAUGAUACUCAUCCAAUAAUGACUGCAAUUCAACUGAAUAAGGACUUGAGGGUGCUGCAGUACCUUGAAAUGCAACAGAAUUACUUGAGAAUGCUACAGUAUUUGGAAUUACUAAAGAAUGUGACUCAGAAACUUGUAUGCAAAACAAGGGAGUUUGAAAAUCCUUCCCCUGCUUGUGUAAAAGCUGUUGACAACUCAUACAAUUCAGUAACUUACAGUGAGAACCCAAAUCACCAAUUCCCUGUAAAGUUACUGACUUCCCAUCCUUCUUAAAACUGAUUUUUGAAUUCUGAAAAUCAAACAGAAUGGGAUUACAUGUUUUCAUUCAGUUAACUCCCAAAAUCAUAUCAAAACUUCCCAUUUCCAACAACCUCAAGUCAAAAUUGAAAGAGUAUUGCUGAAUCUUCCAGCUAAAUGCAGGGCACACACUAUUGCUUGCAAUUUUUCUGCCAUCUGCUACUGUAACAGAUAUUGCAGGGACUUUCACCAAUGGAAUCUUCAAUUCACUUGCUACUUUGGCAUCCAAAAAACUGUGAGUACUACCACUGUCUACAAGAAUCAGUAGCUCCCUAUUUUGAUGCAUUCCAAUGACCCUUAUAGUUUCAGCUUCUUGAAUUCCCUCAAUAGCAUGGACUGACAGAGUUACUGCCCCUGCACUAUCAGGGAAAUAUUUUUCUCCACAUUUAAAGCAAGGUUUGGGCUGUCUGAUGGAGUUAGAAGCAUUGGAGCUGGUAAAAUUGGGUUUAAUAGCUGGUUGGUUGACAGAAGAUUGACUAGUGGACAUUGAACAACUGCUUGAUGAUCAAAGAUUGACUUGGCUCUUUUCAUAUGGUCCUCCACAGAAGUUGUGCCCUUCUUAAGGUGUUUUAACUGCUUACAGAGCUGCAUUACUUGUGUUCUUUAACCUGUAGAAAAAAUGGCCUUAAGCUUUUGCCUGGCAUCCUGCUGUGGAAGAGGUGAUAACUCGGGUCUGGAGAUUUUCAGAGAUGGAACAGAACAUCCAGCUUAGGACCAAUUGGUCUUGACGGUACCAAGCUUCAUAUGCUGGAUUGGGAGUGUUGUCAGCUAGGAGAGCUGGUGGUGGUGUGGUAGUCAAAGCAAUAUGAGAAGCGAGAUUAUAUCCAUUGUGAAUGGGAAGAAGCUGAGAUUUCCACAGGAGAUAGUUUGAGGAAUUCAAUUUGAUUGGUAAAAUGCUGAUUGACGUAGGGAAUAGAAAAAGAGAUUGGGGAAGUGGAUGAGCUGGAGAUCAAUGCUUGAGAGGAGUCGAUUUUCGAAAAACAACUGGCUGUGGAGCUGAUUUGGCUUUGAUAUCAUAAAGAGUUCUGAAUGUUUCAAGUCUUGUUAAUGAUAAAUUGAAUGUACAAUAUAUACUGGUCACAAGAUAAUGAUAAGUAUGAAAUUUACAAGCUAAGGAUUGGCGCAACAGAUAGAUAAAGAUCAAUAUGAAAUUGGUUAAUAGAUUGGGAUAAACAUUAUCUCUCUGUUAGACAGCCCAUUGGGUGUUAUGCUAAUGUAGUGUUUAAAUGGAUUUGGCGAAUUCUUUAAUGCUUGUUUUCUUCCCAUCAAGUGCUUGUGCAAUUUCAUUUCCUAGAAUACGUUAUAUUUUUCAUUUUUACUUCAUU